rnacentral:rRNA from 1 species
UACGGAGGGUGCGAGCGUUAUCCGGAUUCACUGGGUUUAAAGGGUGCGUAGGUGGGAAUGUAAGUCAGUGGUGAAAUCUCCGUGCUUAACACGGAAACUGCCAUUGAUACUAUUGGUCUUGAAUUCGGUCGAGGUUGGCGGAAUGUGUCGUGUAGCGGUGAAAUGCUUAGAUAUGACACAGAACACCGAUUGCGAAGGCAGCUAGCUAGACCGACAUUGACGCUGAGGCACGAAAGCGUGGGGAUCAAACAGG